rnacentral:sRNA from 1 species
UUCGGGUUAAGGAUUGAAGCGCCAUCCUUUUUAAAACUAAUAUGUACUGUAGCUUGUGAGAAUUUUGAAUGGCAGAUUGCCACCUUAUACCUUCUUGUAAUAGCGUUUUAAAAAGAUAUAGCAGAAAGCCUGACCCCCG